UACGAAGGGGGCUAGCGUUGCUCGGAAUCACUGGGCGUAAAGGGCACGUAGGCGGCUUUGUAAGUUAGAGGUGAAAUCUCGGAGCUUAACUCCGAAACUGCAUUCGAUACUGCCGUGCUUGAGGACUGGAGAGGAGACUGGAAUUUACGGUGUAGCGGUGAAAUGCGUAGAUAUCGUAAGGAAGACCAGUGGCGAAGGCGGGUCUCGUGGACAGUUCCUGACGCUGAGGCACGAAGGUCAGGGGAGCAAACGGG
rnacentral:rRNA from 1 species